rnacentral:rRNA from 1 species
UACGUAGGGCGCAAGCGUUGUCCGGAAUUAUUGGGCGUAAAGAGCUCGUAGGCGGUCUGUCGCGUCGAAUGUGAAAACCCGGGGCUCAACUCCGGGCUUGCAUUCGAUACGGGCAGGCUAGAGUUCGGUAGGGGAGACUGGAAUUCCUGGUGUAGCGGUGAAAUGCGCAGAUAUCAGGAGGAACACCGGUGGCGAAGGCGGAUCUCUGGGCCAUUACUGACGCUGAGGCACGAAAGCGUGGGGAGCAAACAGG